CGCUUUUGUGGGGUGCUCGAGUGGCGAACGGGUGAGUAACACGUGAGUAACCUGCCCUUGACUUUGGGAUAACUUCAGGAAACUGGGUCUAAUACCGGAUAGGAGCCAUUUUUAGUGUGAUGGUUGGAAAGUUUUUCGGUGUAGGAUGAGCUCGCGGCCUAUCAGCUUGUUGGUGGGGUAAUGGCCUACCAAGGCGGCGACGGGUAGCCGGCCUGAAAGGGUGGACGGCCACAUUGGGACUGAGAUACGGCCCAG
rnacentral:rRNA from 1 species